UGAGAGUGGAACGGAAUAAUUUCAUCUCGCUGUCUGACUCCAGAUAAGCCACUAUCUGCUGAAUUUCUGAAUCAGAGCCCUCAGAGUCUUUUAAAGCAGUACUGAGAACAGCUGAAGCAUCCAGAGACCUAACAGUGUUUUUCUUGGUAGUGUGCUAUGGCACUUCUCCAUCUGUCCGUUUCAGCAGGAAGAUCCACUCAUCACAACACCUGGCCCCGGGGAAGACAGAAGGGCUUAG